rnacentral:lncRNA from 7 species
GUGGGGCUGCGACCGCGGGGCGAGUUCUCUCCACGCGGUGAGGAGCACCAGUUCGCUGUGCUGUGCUCCGUUUGUCGUUUUCCUGAGAGGAAACAUGCGCACCGCAGCUCGUGCCAAGUGUGGCAGUGAUUUCUGCCAUAGUGUCGCCGUGGCAGCCGGACCAAGACUCCAACCACCCAUCCUCUGGUGGCAAUGGCACCUUGCCAGCAGGCUUGGACGCCAGGCCUGCUCAUUAGGCUCUGUCACUCAGCUUCAUUUUCAAAACAUUCCUCGAGAAGCUGUCUUCUCUCCUUGCCCUCAUAAAUGACAGCAGUUCCUGAAGUAAGAGGAGUGAGAGGAAAACUUCUGCAGAAGCUCUCUGACAGGACUUGCUCCUUUGCCUGUGAGCACACACUUUGUGAAAGCGAGUGUGGGUUUCCAGACCAAAAUGAGGAAUUUCUCUUUCACAACAGAGUCCAAUUGUAUCAAUAACAUGAGGGCACAUUACUCCAAACUGAACAUCACAGGGCAACUGCUUGAGGAAAAAAGAAAAAAUCAAUAUAUGAUGAUAAAGGCACCCAACUCCAGCACAGAAAGGAAAUGCUCAUUUCCAGUAUUCUGAGCUGCUCCUCGUGUCCCUCUAAAUCGCUGUUGUGAUAUUGUCAUUACUCUCCUAGCAUUAUGGUUUCCAAAGACAGUAUUUCCCUGAAUGACAAUGAGGAAGUUUUGCUGCUGCUGUACAAACUGUUAAUUGUUUUUCUGUCAUGCCUUGAGGCCUUGGUGAGGACUCCUUCCAUUGCACUUCGCUCCUAAGAAGAAUUCUGAAGAAGCAUUCCUGCUGCCUCAGGUGCUGCAUUCUCGCAGAUCUACUUGCUUCCUGACGUUCCAGAGUUUCACUGACGAUGAAGUUUCUGAGACACACAAAGUUGCAAACAAAUAUGGCCUGAAAAUGGCAACAGAGAAAUUGGUUGGGGUGUAUUUACUCCCAGGAAAGGUAGCGUAGAGCCAGGAGUGCCAGGAGAAAAGCGCAGUGAAGUGUAUUUCUUGAAAAUACAAGGGAGAACAGUUUCAACGCCUCAUGUAAGUGUGUUUCUCUGAAGUCCAAAGAAGAGCUGCUUUCAGAUUCCAAAGCUAAAGCUUGCCUUCGCUGAAAAGCUUGACAUCAGGAGUCAUGGCUACACAGCAAUAAGCCAUGCCGAGGGCAGUUUGGAGAUUUUUAAGAGGACACCUGUGCCACCCCAGCCUGCUCCAGCACUCAGAAUGGCCCCAAUGCCUGCAGGGAAAUUCAUCUGUGCUCACUGUUCAAAGCAAGCCCUCCUAUGCUAAAUCCUCUUUGAUCCUCCAGGACAAUGAAGAGACCCUGAGCUGUAAUCAAGCUUGCUUUAGGGCUGGUUUUAGACCCCACAAGAUGUCCAGAACUGGACACAAUCCAUAGGGCCUUUAAGCCCCUUUUCAGAGUGCUCCAGAAAUAUGAACUCUGUGCUCAGCAAUGUCUGAUCGGUAUAAGCCACUCUCAUCUUCUGUCACAUGAGGGCAAGUCACACUUCCUCUGCCUCUUCCUUCCCAGAGUUCCUGUGGACACCAGUGGAAUGGGGAAGCAUUGGUGCUUGGAGCUGGGAGCCCUUCUCCCCAGGCAGUCUCCAACUUCUGCCUUCCAAGCUGCCACUGAGGGGUGAUCUUUUAAACUGCUGACUUAGAAUAGAAAAAGGAGAAAAGAAAGAAGAAAAAGGAAAACAAGAAACAAUUUGGAGCUAUGCCCUUUGUCUUCUCUCCUUGAAAAUACAAAUUAGUACUUUUUGUUUGUUUGUUUGUUUUAAAGAUAAAUAAGAAUAAAUGUUACAAUAUG